rnacentral:rRNA from 1 species
GACGUAGGGGGCGAGCGUUGUCCGGAAUUACUGGGCGUAAAGAGCACGUAGGCGGAUAUUUAAGUCAGGUGUGAAAGACCGCAGCUCAACUGCGGGGUGGCACCUGAAACUGGGUAUCUUGAGGGCAGGAGAGGGCAGUGGAAUUCCAGGUGUAGCGGUGAAAUGCGUAGAAAUCUGGAGGAACACCAGUGGCGAAGGCGACUGUCUGGACUGACCCUGACGCUGAGGUGCGAAAGCGUGGGUAGCAAACAGG